UUCUGGGGUCGCCCCCACGGCGGCGCGGCGGAGCUCAGCCUCGAUCUCGCGAAACCGAGCGAGACUACGGAAGGCCGAAGGAUUGGGCUCAGCAUUGCUUGGGCUAAAGGCUGACUAGGGCUUCCAGGAAGUGAUGUGCUUCUAAGUGCCAGUGCCAGGGUAAGAACCCUAUACGAGUCUCCAAGCUUCUUCCCUCGACGUACUCUCUGCGUAAAUCAAUACCUGUGUCUCUGGCGUAACCCCAUUCAACCGGCUGCUCCGGGAAGGUUUCCAGGUGGUUUUAAGGGCAGAAGAAAGGAAGGACACGGACAUUUGUUAAGCACCUGGAGUGGUGUUCUCCAUCCAUACCCCAUUUACUGUUAGUGAUUGUGAAUUCUAAAACCAGGAUGGCUUUAAUGUCUCCACACGUGCAUAUGCCAUUCAAGUUUUACAAUAACUAAUGAACACAUGCAUUUCUUAUUUAGUUUAUCUCAAUGGUUGCUCAAAAUUUAGUGUCUGUGGGACUUACUGUAUAGUGGUAUGUACGCAAAAGUCAAUAUACUGUUCUUAUGGACAAUUCAAGUGAUUUUCAAAGGGAAUUUCAACUUAGGUCCCCCAUCCCCUUACUUACUGACUUGAGAACCUAACCACUAUGGUAGCUAUUGUACUUUUUCAUUUUAGAAAACGAGGAAACAUGCUCAGAGAGUCCCAGUAAAUUGCUCAAUGGCACACAGCUAGUAAGAGGCUAGAGUUAGGAUUCCAAACGAAGUAUUAAUUGGUCUUCUCAGGCAGAGUUGCUGGAUUGAGUAUUUUAUCAUAUGGAAGGUCUAACUAACCCUAAUUUUGAGAUCAUGUAGCUUCGUUUUAUUCCAGUAUAAAAUUUGUACCAUUUAAAUAUGUUCAGUGUAAAUAGUUCAGUAUAGUCCUCUUGAACAGAAAUAAACGGUGACAGUUAGUCUCUCCACUUCCCACCAUGUGUCUUUGAGGAAAUCAACUUGCCUUUCACUGUGUUACCACUUUUGUAUAGGAGAUCUAGCCCAGAACAUAAUCGAUACUGCCACACUGUUUUGUGGAAAACCCAGGCAAAUAGGUAAACAGUUUGAGACUUGAGAAAAUGCAACAAACAAGAAUGCAACUGUAAAAGAUAAAUUUGGGUUAGGCACGGUGGCUCACACCUGUAAUCCCAGUACUUUGGGAGGCCGAGGGUGGAUCACUUGAGGUCAGGAGUUCAGAGACCAGCUUGGCCACCAUGGCCUAACCCCGUCUCUACUAAAAAUACAAAAAUUAGCCGAGCGUGGUGGCUCAUGCCUGUAGUCCCAGCUACUCGGGAG
rnacentral:lncRNA from 1 species